rnacentral:rRNA from 1 species
UACGGAGGGGACUAGCGUUGUUCGGAAUUACUGGGCGUAAAGCGCACGUAGGCGGAUUUGUAAGUCAGGGGUGAAAUCCCGGGCUCAACCUCGGAACUGCCUUUGAUACUGCAAUCUCGAGUCCGGAAGAGGUGAGUGGAAUUCCUAGUGUAGAGGUGAAAUUCGUAGAUAUUAGGAAGAACACCAGUGGCGAAGGCGGCUCACUGGUCCGGUACUGACGCUGAGGUGCGAAAGCGUGGGGAGC